rnacentral:rRNA from 1 species
GACGAACGCUGGCGGCGUGCUUAACACAUGCAAGUCGAACGGAAAGGCCCCUUUGGGGGUACUCGAGUGGCGAACGGGUGAGUAACACGUGAGUAACCUGCCCUUGACUUCGGGAUAACUUCAGGAAACUGGGGCUAAUACCGGAUAGGAAUCCUUGCUGCAUGGUGGGGGUUGGAAAGCUUCGGCGGUUUUGGAUGGACUCGCGGCUUAUCAGCUUGUUGGUGGGGUAGUGGCUUACCAAGGCGUUGACGGGUAGCCGGCCUGGGAGGGCGACCGGCCACAUUGGGACUGAGAUACGGCCCAGACUCCUACGGGUGGCAGCAGUGGGGAAUAUUGCACGAUGGGCGGAAGCCUGAUGCAGCAACGCCGCGUGCGGGAUGACGGCCUUCGGGUUGUAAACCGCUUUCAGCAGGGGCGAAGCUUGUGGUGACGGUACCUGCAGAAGAAGCACCGGCUAACUACGUG